rnacentral:rRNA from 1 species
UGGGGAAUAUUGCACAAUGGGGGAAACCCUGAUGCAGCGACGCCGCGUGAGCGAAGAAGGUUUUCGAAUCGUAAAGCUCUGUCCUAUGAGAAGAUAAUGACGGUAUCAUAGGAGGAAGCCCCGGCUAAAUACGUGCCAGCAGCCGCGGUAAUACGUAUGGGGCGAGCGUUGUCCGGAAUUAUUGGGCGUAAAGGGUACGUAGGCGGUCUAUUAAGUCAGGUGUGAAAGCGUGAGGCUUAACCUCAUUAAGCACUUGAAACUGAUAGACUUGAGUGAAGGAGAGGAAAGUGGAAUUCCUAGUGUAGCGGUGAAAUGCGUAGAUAUUAGGAGGAAUACCGGUGGCGAAGGCGACUUUCUGGACUUUUCCUGACGCUCAGGUACGAAAGCGUGGGGAGCAAACAGG